rnacentral:rRNA from 1 species
UUAAGUGACGAUAGCCUAGGAGAUACACCUGUACCCAUGCCGAACACAGCAGUUAAGCCCUAGAACGCCUGAUGUAGUUGGGGGUUGC